rnacentral:rRNA from 1 species
UACGAAGGGGGCUAGCGUUGCUCGGAAUUACUGGGCGUAAAGGGCGCGUAGGCGGCUCUGUUAGUCAGGCGUGAAAGCCCUGGGCUCAACCUGGGGACUGCGCUUGAGACGGCAGGGCUUGAGGGCAGAAGAGGCUCGCGGAAUUCCCAGUGUAGAGGUGAAAUUCGUAGAUAUUGGGAAGAACACCGGUGGCGAAGGCGGCAUCCUGGACCGGUAUUGACGCUGAGGCGCGAAAGCCAGGGGAGCAAACGGG